rnacentral:rRNA from 1 species
UACGAAGGGGACUAGCGUUGUUCGGAAUCACUGGGCGUAAAGCGCACGUAGGCGGAUUCGUAAGUCAGGGGUGAAAUCCCGGGGCUCAACCUCGGAACUGCCUUUGAUACUGCGGGUCUUGAGUUCGAUAGAGGUGGGUGGAAUUCCUAGUGUAGAGGUGAAAUUCGUAGAUAUUAGGAAGAACACCGGUGGCGAAGGCGGCCCACUGGAUCGGUACUGACGCUGAGGUGCGAAAGCGUGGGGAGCAAACAGG